rnacentral:rRNA from 1 species
CCUACGGGAGGCAGCAGUGAGGAAUAUUGGUCAAUGGCCGUAAGGCUGAACCAGCCAAGUAGCGUGAGGGAAGACUGCCCUAUGGGUUGUAAACCUCUUUUAUGCGGGGAUAAAGGUGUCCACGUGUGGCUGUUUGCAGGUACCGCAUGAAUAAGGACCGGCUAAUUCCGUGCCAGCAGCCGCGGUAAUACGGGAGGUCCGGGCGUUAUCCGGCUUUAUUGGGUUUAAAGGGAGCGUAGGCCGGUCUUUAAGCGUGCCGUGAAAUUUUGUGGCUCAACCAUGAGAGUGCGGCGCGAACUGGAGACCUUGAGUGCGCGGAAGGCAGGCGGAAUUCGUGGUGUAGCGGUGAAAUGCUUAGAUAUCACGAAGAACCCCGAUUGCGAAGGCAGCCUGCCGCAGCGUUACUGACGCUGAAGCUCGAAAGCGCGGGUAUCGAACAGGAUUAGAUACCCGGGUAGUC